GAUGAAGAACGUAGCGAAAUGCGAUAAGUAAUGUGAAUUGCAGAAUUCAGUGAAUCAUCGAAUCUUUGAACGCACCUUGCACCCUUUGGCAUUCCGAAGGGUAUGCUCGUUUGAGUGUCAUUGUACUCUCACACUUCCAAUCUUUGGAUUGGGAGCGGUGGACUUGGGUGUUGCUGCUUACUGUGGCUCACCUCAAAUCGAUUCGUGCACCUCUUGGUUGGACAUAGUACGGCGUGAUAAGUGUCUUCGCCGGCACCUCAGUAGAGGGUGGCUGAUCAGGAGCUCUGUGCUUCAAACCGUCCUCGGACAACAACUGACAACUUGACCUCAAAUCGAGUAGGACUACCCGCUGAACUUAAGCAUAUCAAUAAGCGGAGGA
rnacentral:misc_RNA from 1 species